rnacentral:lncRNA from 10 species
AGAACCUGCUGACACGUGAUGUCUCCCCCAGACACCCAGCUUCAAAAUUUCUCUCUUUUGUACUCUUUCCCUUUAUUUCUCAGACCAGUUGACACUUAGGGAAAAUAGAAAAGAACCUACAUUGAAAUAUAGGGGGUGGUUCCCCUGAGAGGUAAAUCAGGAAUUUCUUCUUGGUUAGGAUCCAUUGCUGCCAGCCAGCAAGUCUACCAGGCUCCAGACUGGUACUGGGGGUUGUCUGCACAGAGUCCUGUGAUGUGAACUGUCUGUGGGUCUCUCAGCUGUGGAUACCAGCACCUGCUCCCGUGGAGGUGGCACAGGAAUGAAAUGAACUCUGUAUGUAAAAAUGGAGGGGGGAGAAGGCAUGAAGCAUAUUACGAAUCUAAAGCCAUUAUACCAGAGAUACAAAUCUGAA